rnacentral:rRNA from 1 species
UCAAGCCUACAUAGCAGCACCUAGUUGGUCCUGCCUGAUUUUGAAAAUGCCAACAAGGUCAGACCUAAUUAGUACAUGGAGGGAAGACCACUAGGAAGCAUAGGCUAGGCUUCAU